CCUACGGGAGGCAGCAGUGGGGAAUUUUGGACAAUGGGCGCAAGCCUGAUCCAGCCAUGCCGCGUGCGGGAAGAAGGCCUUCGGGUUGUAAACCGCUUUUGUCAGGGAAGAAAAGGUUCUGGCUAAUACCUGGGACUCAUGACGGUACCUGAAGAAUAAGCACCGGCUAACUACGUGCCAGCAGCCGCGGUAAUACGUAGGGUGCAAGCGUUAAUCGGAAUUACUGGGCGUAAAGCGUGCGCAGGCGGUUAUGCAAGACAGAGGUGAAAUCCCCGGGCUCAACCUGGGAACUGCCUUUGUGACUGCAUAGCUAGAGUGCGGCAGAGGGGGAUGGAAUUCCGCGUGUAGCAGUGAAAUGCGUAGAUAUGCGGAGGAACACCGAUGGCGAAGGCAAUCCCCUGGGCCUGCACUGACGCUCAUGCACGAAAGCGUGGGGAGCAAACAGGAUUAGAUACCCUGGUAGUCCACGCCCUAAACGAUGUCAACUGGUUGUUGGGAGGGUUUCUUCUCAGUAACGUAGCUAACGCGUGAAGUUGACCGCCUGGGGGNGGUACGGCCGCGAGUAGAACGACGAAAGAAGUUAGACGGCGUGAGACGUAGACCGACGGACGACGACGAGGGGAGGAGG
rnacentral:rRNA from 1 species